rnacentral:lncRNA from 1 species
CAAAUUUCUGUUACAGGAAUGUGAUGCAAAGCAAGUGGGUCUUUCCAAAACUUUUAUCCUGAAACGAAGAAGCAGAUAUCGGAAUGUACUGGAAAAAAAUAGAAAAGGAAGAUCCCUCACCAUCCAUAACAUGACACAUGGAAGAGAAAGGGUUCCUAAGCUUCCAGGUGACCCUGCAACCCCUACUUCAUUCUGGAGUGUCUGGCUCUAGAUAACUUUAAAGAAAAAUCAACCCUUCCUUGGUUGUAUGGCUGUUGUCUUGUUUUUAUUGACAUGACAUCUUCUUUUCUUACUGUUAAGAGCUUUGAAUGUCCCAGUUGUCCAAUGUGACUUAAAUUUGAUGAUGCCUGCCAUGAUGUCAUGUGGUCUAGACUGUACUGCCAUAUAAAG